GACCGUGCUAAGGUAGCAUAAUCAUUCGCCCUUUAAUUGUGGGCUUGUAUGAACGGAUUCACGAAGGAGAGACUGUCUCCCCCCGAAAAAAAUGAACUUAACUUUCAGGUGAAGAUGCCUGAAUAAUAAAAAAGGACAAGAAGACCCUAUUGAGCUUUAUUUUCUAAAUUUUGUUGGGGCGACAAGGGGGCCCGACCCCCCUUUUUUUAAAGACUAAAAAGUCGAUAACUGAUCCAGGGAAUCCUGAUUAAAUGAAAAAGCUACCAUAGGGAUAACAGGCUUAUCUUCCUAGAGAGUCCUCAUUGAUAGGAAGGCUUGG
rnacentral:rRNA from 1 species